ACAUCCGGUCUAUGUCGAGUGCGGACAGGACUAAUCCAUGUAUAAUCUGAUGAAAUAGACUAAAGUAUUUCCAUUGCAACUACAAGACAGCUUGAAAGGGGAAAACCAAGCUAUCAUUGCAGAAAAAGCCAUCUCUCUCUUUCAUUAAAAAAAGAAAUAAAGAAAGGCUUUGGACACAAUCCAAGCCCAUCAAUUAUUUGAAGGACUAAAAAGGUUGCGUUACAUCAACUUAUAAUUUCGAAGCAGCAUAGAGGGGAGGAAGAAGCAUCAUAGAAUCCUUCAUCUCUCAAAUCAAACCAUAUAAUUGUUCCUUAUCACUUGUCAACAUUCAAAAGAAGAGAUUAGUUUCUGUCUUUUUGACUAUUCUCCACGCACAUUCUUUCCACAUUUAGCUUCUUCACAUGGAUUAGUGCUAUUUGACACACAGAUUCUCACAUUCAAAUACAAAAAUGGAGUCAUAGGUGGACGGUGCAAAGCAAUUGUACCCUUUAAAAAAGAAGAGGCAUGUUGAUUUAUCUAUUUUGUUGCCAUGAACACCUCUUAACUACCUUCCAAUUGCUUACAAUUUUUUAUCUUCUUUCUAGGGUUGGCCUCGCAUCUCUCAUCAAGCUUUUUCUCUACCACUCUUGAAUUUACUAUCCAUGUCUUUUGGCUUUUCUCCACGUGGAAUGACUAGGCUCUCACUCUCUUGGUAGAUAGAGUGGUGUGAUUUACGAAAAAGAAGAAUAAUCAUAGGGUACUUAGUGGGAUAAGCAUCGCCUCAAUGACAGAAUGAUGCCUCUUGGGACCAGUUCUUAAGGGUCCAAGGUGGUUAUAUACCAGGAAUGUUGGACAGACUGAACCAAGACAAAAUCCCCACUUCUAGUAGUUGUUUGUUUCUAUCUGAAAUAAUAGCUCUUUGCAGCACUAAAACAUGCAGAGAAGGAAGAGGAAGAAGAAGAAGAUGGUGAUGAGAAUUUCAAGUGUUGGAUAAUGUUAUCUACCCUCUUCUUCCUUCACGGGAUGCAAGGGGACACAAGGCAAGUCAUUGAGGCAAAGGGAAGGCCAAGCCUUUCUUCCGGUUUUCUUAGUUCUUUUGUGUUCAUGUCAUCCUUGGCAUAAACUGGUUAUGUUUUCAGUCAUGAAUUCUGUACUGGUGGAUUUUCUACUGUAAAAUGUGGUUGCUUCCAUAAUGCUAGUGUGGAUUUUCUACUU